UUAGGUUGGUGCAAAAGUAAUUGUGGUUUUUGCCACUGAAAGUAAUGGCAAAACCACAAUUACUCUUGUACUAACCUAAUA
rnacentral:miRNA from 1 species